AUACUUACCUGGCAAGGGAGAUACCGUGAUCAAGAAGGCGGUUCACCCAGGGCGAGGCUCAGCCAUUGCACUCCGGCUGUGCUGACCCCUGCUAAUUUCCCAAAUGUGGAAAUCUCGAUUGCAUAAUUUAUGUUAGUGGGGGACUGCGUU
rnacentral:snRNA from 8 species